rnacentral:lncRNA from 1 species
UGGUGUUCAAAGAAGGUUCGGAGAAGACAUGAAAAAUAAAGAAAGAAAGAAAGAAAGAAGGAAGGAAAGAAAGAGAAAAAGGUAUUGAAAAAAAGAAAAAGAAAUAAUAGGGAAAGAAAGAAAGAAAUAAAGGAGAAGUUUUUACUGUCACGAAGAUCAAGAAAAGUGCAAAGAAAGAUGAUCUUGUUUACGGAACCGAUUUUCAUUCCAACCAUGUGCAAUAUGAUGACAAGGACAUCACUUGUGCCUCAGAGUCACUAUUUUAUUUGCCUUUGCACAUGUCCACCAUUCUAUAUCUUCU